rnacentral:rRNA from 1 species
AGUGUAGGUGGCUCAUUAAGUCACAUGUGAAACUCCCCGGGCUUAACCUGGGAACUGCAUGUGAUACUGGUGGUGCUAGAAUAUGUGAGAGGGAAGUAGAAUUCCAGGUGUAGCGGUGAAAUGCGUAGAGAUCUGGAGGAAUACCGAUGGCGAAGGCAGCUUCCUGGCAUAAUAUUGACACUGAGAUUCGAAAGCGUGGGUAGCAGACA